GCCGGUGUAGCUCAGCGGUUAGAGCGCUUGAUUCCUGAUCAAGUGGCCGAGAGUUCAAAUCUCUCCACCGGCA
rnacentral:tRNA from 1 species